AGUGAACGCUGGCGGUAUGCCUAACACAUGCAAGUCGAACGGCAGCACAGUAAGGGCUUGCUCUUACGGGUGGCGAGUGGCGGACGGGUGAGGAAUACAUCGGAAUCUACUUUUUCGUGGGGGAUAACGUAGGGAAACGUACGCUAAUACCGCAUACGACCUACGGGUGAAAGCAGGGGAUCUUCGGACCUUGCGCGAUUGAAUGAGCCGAUGUCGGAUUAGCUAGUUGGCGGGGUAAAGGCACACCAAGGCGACGAUCCGUAGCUGGUCUGAGAGCAUGAUUCGCCAGACUGGCACUGAGACACGGUCCAGACUCCUACGGGAGGACGCAGUGGGGAAUAUUGCACAAUGGGGGAAAGCCUGAUCCAGCCCUACCGCGUGGGUGCAGAAGGCCUUCGGGUUGUAAAGCCAUUUUGUUGGGCAAGAAAAGAAGCAGGUUAAUCCCCCGCUGUUCUGACGGUACCCAAAGAAUAAGCACCGGCUAACUCCGUG
rnacentral:rRNA from 1 species